rnacentral:rRNA from 1 species
UACGUAGGUGGCAAGCGUUGUCCGGAAUUAUUGGGCGUAAAGCGCGCGCAGGCGGUCCUUUAAGUCUGAUGUGAAAGCCCACGGCUCAACCGUGGAGGGUCAUUGGAAACUGGGGGACUUGAGUGCAGAAGAGGAAAGCGGAAUUCCACGUGUAGUGGUGAAAUGCGUAGAGAUGUGGAGGAACACCAGUGGCGAAGGCGGCUUUCUGGUCUGUAACUGACGCUGAGGCGCGAAAGCGUGGGGAGCAAACAGG